GAGACUGCAUGUCACGCAGCCGGAGUAAUACAUAGGUCCCAAGAGUUGUUCGGAGUCACCGGGGGUAAAGGGUGCGUAGGCGGUCGGGUAAGUCUGACGUGAAAUCUCCAAGCUCAACCUGGAAACUGCGUUGGAUACUAUCCGGCUCGAGUAAUGGAGGGGAGACUGGAAUACUAGGUGUAGCAGUGAAAUGCGUAGAUAUCAAGUGGAACACCAGUGGCGAAGGCGAGUCUCUAGACAUUUCCUGACGCUGAGGCACGAAAGCCAGGGGAGCAAACGGGAUUAGAUACCCUUGUAGUC
rnacentral:rRNA from 1 species